CUUUAGGUAUGUGGGGGAGGGGGGUUGUCUGCAACCAUCGGCCAUACUGGGCCACGGUAACGCCUCGAAACACGGGCUCGCAGAUCGGCGCUGGGUGACGCGCAUUCCCUAAUCAGGGGCCUCCUCCUGCCCCGGCGCAUCAGCGCCAACUGGCUCGCAGACCGGCUUCUAGAAAGCAUGAUAGCUCUCGCGGGGAAACCAUCAGAACCCGCCGCACCAGCGUCCUCACCCGUAGAGCAGCGACCUAGGAAGGCCGAGAUGGCGCUCGUUCGGGGAAGUUCGGCACAAGUAUGUUCAGUGCCUACACAGGUAACGGAGCCGAACCGUUCCUGAUGGGUUUCGAUCUUGCGACCUUGAUGGUCCUCCGGCACCCAACUCCGGCAUCGUGGCGCAAGACCACCCGCGUACAAAGCCCACGGGCGGGUCUUUAGCUGAUAGAGGUUACAUGUGGGACGACAGCCGUGGACUAGCCAGGACCCCAAAAACGUACGAGACACGCACGCUCACCCGAGGAGAGAUCCCCGAAUGACCCCCAUGCUCCUCGCCUCCGGAGAGGGGAGGAACCCCAGGCCCGGCUCACCGCAAACGCUAGCGCUGCUCACCUAAGCCGUGGGUCGGCGUCAUAAGACUACCUCUGAUUGCGAGUCCCUAAGCUGACAAGCUAGGGUGAGGCCGGUGGCGAGUCCGCUGUUGGCCCUACCAAGAUAACCCCUCAUUAGGUAUGUGGGGGAGGGGGGUUGUCUGCAACCAUCGGCCAUACUGGGCCACGGUAACGCCUCGAAACACGGGCUCGCAGAUCGGCGCUGGGUGACGCACAUUCCCUAAUCAGGGGCCUCCUCCUGCCCCGGCGCAUCAGCGCCAACUGGCUUGCAGACCGGCUUCUAGUAAGCAGGAUAGCUCUCGCGGGGAAACCAUCAGAACCCGCCGCACCAGCGUCCGCACCCGUAGAGCAGCGACCUAGGAAGGCCGAGAUGGCGCUCGUUCGGGGAAGUUCGGCACAAGUAUGUUCAGUGCCUACACAGGUAACGGAGCCGAACCGUUCCUGAUGGGUUUCGAUCUUGCGACCUUGAUGUGACUCCGGCACCCAACUCCGGCAUCGUGGCGCAAGACCACCCGCGUACAAAGCCCACGGGCGGGCCAACUCAUUAGCCACUCAUCUACACAUGCUGUUCCAAAGUGUGCCUCCUGGCGUGUUUUUGGGGUCUGGCAUGCGCCCCAGCCCGCCUUCAAGGCUGGAACCAAGUGUAACAGACUCUUCGCGCCCUGACACGCAACCCAGCUGCGCGCCAUUAAAUUUUGAGAGCGUUUGCUGUAAGAAAACGCUGGUCAAAGCAGAUGCACUUUGUGGGGUGGGUGAACGAAACGCGUUGACUCUUAUUUUGAAGAAUAGCCAGCUCGCCCAGCACCUUUACUUUUUUGCAAGCGCCAAGAUCGGCCGAAGGGAUGCAAAGCGCGGGACCGGUUCGCCCCCCAUUGUGCAACCUCUCCAAGGCGCCUAUGCGUGAUGCAUCGUAUUUAAUGAAUAGAUCAGGAUGAUCUGUACUCUAUACGCGCGCACGGUUCCCCUGAAGCGCAGCGAGCGAGCCAAAUGCACCACUAGCAAGCUUGCCCGCGGACGCGACUUACUGUGCAUUGCUGAGAUCUUCGGAUGUAUUGAAUAAGGAUCUAUUUGUAGAACUAAUUAUGUGCGCACAGUGCUCCCU
rnacentral:lncRNA from 1 species